UGGGGAAUAUUGCACAAUGGGCGCAAGCCUGAUGCAGCCAUGCCGCGUGUGUGAAGAAGGCCUUCGGGUUGUAAAGCACUUUCAGCGGGGAGGAAGGCGAUAAGGUUAAUAACCUUGUCGAUUGACGUUACCCGCAGAAGAAGCACCGGCUAACUCCGUGCCAGCAGCCGCGGUAAUACGGAGGGUGCAAGCGUUAAUCGGAAUUACUGGGCGUAAAGCGCACGCAGGCGGUCUGUCAAGUCGGAUGUGAAAUCCCCGGGCUCAACCUGGGAACUGCAUUCGAAACUGGCAGGCUAGAGUCUUGUAGAGGGGGGUAGAAUUCCAGGUGUAGCGGUGAAAUGCGUAGAGAUCUGGAGGAAUACCGGUGGCGAAGGCGGCCCCCUGGACAAAGACUGAAGCUCAGGUGCGAAAGCGUGGGGAGCAAACAGG
rnacentral:rRNA from 1 species